UACCAUAACCACCUCUAUAUCUCAAUAUCAAAUAUUGAAAACCAAACUUAGUAAUAUUUAGUACUUUUCAUACAAAUAUAGGACAAAUUGGCUAUAAAACAUAUAUUAUAAGAUUAUGAUGAAUUUUCUUAAAAAUCAUGACGAAAAUAAGAUGUACAUCUACGUUAGAGAGUGAUAAGAGACUACUUCGCUCUAAGCAAAACGUUCGCAAAGACAUCGGUUGUGGAACGUAAAAAUAAUGCAAUAAUGCACACGGUUAAAAUAACGAACACUUAUCGGUUUUUCACAAAAUUCUACAACGCAAUUGCAGUGCAAUAAAAUUGCACACGACACGUAUCGAACGAACAUAUAAUGAAAAUCUGUUCCUAUAUAAGAGCUAGUAUUUAGAGCAGAAAAUAAAAACCAAAGUUUGAAUAAUAUCAAAGUAGUUUUCUAUUAAAUCCUGAAAUAAUAUCAUAAACAAAAUGCCUUGCAAAGGAUGUGGAAACGAUUGCAAAUGCACUGCCCAAAAGUGCUGCGACAGAUGUCCCUGCGAUCACCAUUGUCAUUGUCCCUGCAAAACUGCCGCUAAGGAAUAGCGCAGAAAAGGAGUUUGAAGUGAAAAUGCUAUAUUAAAUUUUCUUUCAGCAUAAAAUUUAUAUUGUAUUUAAAAAUGUUAUUUAAAUAAUAUAAAAUAAAAAAUAAAAUAAAAUAAAACAACCAAAGAAUUAAACAACGGC